GAACAUGCUCAUCCACAUCUCCGGAACACUCCAGAACACACACCAGAACAUGCUCAUCCACAUCUCCGGAACACUCCAGAACACACACCAGAACACGCUCCUCCUCAUCUCCAGAACACUCCAGAACACACACCAGAACACGCUCUUCCACAUCUCCAGAACACUCCAGAACACACACCAGAACACGCUCCUCCUCAUCUCCGGAACACUCCAGAACACACACCAGAACAUGCUCAUCCACAUCUCCGGAACACUCCAGAACACACACCAGAACAUGCUCAUCCACAUCUCCGGAACACUCCAGAACACACACCAGAACACGCUCCUCCACAUCUCCAGAACACACACCAGAACACGCUCCUCCACAUCUCCUGAACACUCCAGAACACACACCAGAACAUGCUCAUCCACAUCUCCGGAACACUCCAGAACACACACCAGAACAUGCUCAUCCACAUCUCCGGAACACUCCAGAACACACACCAGAACACGCUCCUCCUCAUCUCCAGAACACUCCAGAACACACACCAGAACACGCUCCUCCACAUCUCCUGAACACUCCAGAACACACACCAGAACACGCUCCUCCACAUCUCCGGAACACUCCAGAACACACACCAGAACAUGCUCAUCCACAUCUCCGGAACAAUCCAGAACACACACCAGAACACGCUCCUCCACAUCUCCUGAACACUCCAGAACACACACCAGAACAUGCUCAUCCACAUCUCCGGAACACUCCAGAACACACACCAGAACAUGCUCAUCCACAUCUCCGGAACACUCCAGAACACACACCAGAACACGCUCCUCCUCAUCUCCAGAACACUCCAGAACACACACCAGAACACGCUCUUCCACAUCUCCAGAACACUCCAGAACACACACCAGAACACGCUCCUCCUCAUCUCCGGAACACUCCAGAACACACACCAGAACAUGCUCAUCCACAUCUCCGGAACACUCCAGAACACACACCAGAACAUGCUCAUCCACAUCUCCGGAACACUCCAGAACACACACCAGAACACGCUCCUCCUCAUCUCCAGAACACACACCAGAACAUGCUCAUCCACAUCUCCGGAACACUCCAGAACACACACCAGAACACGCUCCUCCUCAUCUCCAGAACACUCCAGAACACACACCAGAACACGCUCUUCCACAUCUCCGGAACACUCCAGAACACACACCAGAACAUGCUCAUCCACAUCCCCGGAACACUCCAGAACACACACCAGAACAUGCUCAUCCACAUCUCCGGAACACUCCAGAACACACACCAGAACAUGCUCAUCCACAUCUCCGGAACAAUCCAGAACACACACCAGAACAUGCUCAUCCACAUCUCCGGAACACUCCAGAACACACACCAGAACAUGCUCAUCCACAUCUCCGGAACACUCCAGAACACACACCAGAACAUGCUCAUCCACAUCUCCGGAACACUCCAGAACACACACCAGAACAUGCUCAUCCACAUCUCCGGAACAAUCCAGAACACACACCAGAACAUGCUCAUCCACAUCUCCGGAACACUCCAGAACACACACCAGAACACGCUCCUCCACAUCUCCGGAACACUCCAGAACACACACCAGAACAUGCUCAUCCACAUCUCCGGAACACUCCAGAACACACACCAGAACAUGCUCAUCCACAUCUCCGGAACACUCCAGAACACACACCAGAACAUGCUCAUCCACAUCUCCGGAACACUCCAGAACACACACCAGAACAUGCUCAUCCACAUCUCCGGAACACUCCAGAACACACACCAGAACAUGCUCAUCCACAUCUCCACAAAAGGUGUAAUGUCAGUUGAAGUGAUUCAUCAAGCAGCUUUAUGUUGAAUACGGCAGCAGAUUUCUUCAGAUUCCUGUUUCACCCUCAGAAAUCUGCCAAAUGAUAAAUGUGACUUCCACGAAAGCUUCAUUCUGUUCUGCCAUGAAAAAAUAAAAUAAAUAAAAUAAAAAAAUCUGACAAAAAUGUUUGACAGUCAGACAAUUGAUAGUUUUUUUUUUCUCCUCUCGAGAGUUAUAAACUUAGCUUAUCUUUCAAUUGUGACUUUCUCAAAAAUUCUGAGUUUACAUUUCACCAUUCUGUGUGAUCAAAAUUCCUAGGUAAUUGUGACGUUUUAUCCUGUAUUUUGACACACUUUUAUCCUGUCCUGGGUUCAUUGAUCUGUCCGUACACUACCAGUUGAGCAGCAGGUCUUGUGAAUGACUGUCUGUAUGUGAAUAUUUUAACCCAGUGGAGUCUGUAAGCAUACAGUGACCACUAACCACAAUAGUGUUGGAGCCAUGCAUUCUUUGCAGGGAAAUAAAUGUAUGUACAACAUUAUUCACAGACAGUACUUCAGGGAACCUUAUCAAAAUCAUAUUAAUAUAGUGCUAGUAUAACCAAAGUGAAAGGACCACAGUUGAAGUCAGAUUACACAGUGAGACCUGUGUGACGACAUGCAUCUUUUUCCUGAUCAUUUUAGAAUAACUCAAGAGUGACUGUGGAAACUUAAGUGAAAGGGGGUUUGGAGUUAAUUUUUGUUAGUAUUGACUAUUCAGGACAAAGUCUAGCGCAAUCUUUUGUCCAACACAUCACUGCACAACAGCAGAAUCUGUCUUCUUCCCAAGAUCCAAGGUCAGACUGACAUCUGCUCUGUUCCCUUGCUUAUCCUUUCUGCUGCAGUUCUGCCAUUUAUUUUUUAAUCUAUCAAUAUAUAUAUAUAUAUAUAAUGCAGUUGUUUAUGAAAUUGUAAUAUUAGUGCCUUUUACAAUAUCAAUUAGAUAUACCGUGAGAUUAAAGUGGUUUUUGAGCAUAUAGUGUAUUUCCAAAUCCAAAUUAUUCCAAUUUUGGUUUAAUAUAUCAUAAAUGUCUUUUGCAUAUGAAAACUGAACACUGAUGCUCUGUCAUAUUUUACAGAGAAGUGGGAGCACAAACUAUCUGCCCCUUGUCCUUAAUGUCCCAAAGUUCAAACUUCAGUCAGUCAUUAACUAACAUGCCUAAACGAACCUCCCCUCUCUCUGUCCUGCUCAUUUGCUCUCAUCCUCUCAGUUUAUUUGCACUAGAAACAUUGCACAGAACAGUGAUUGUGUCAGUCUUGCCAGACAUAAUUACAGGUGUCCCUGAUGUCUGGUCUGUAGAGAUCUGUGUCGAAUCCAAAAGGUGUCAGUCCAUAUAUGUGUGAAUGAAUGCACACAUGAGCUGUGGUGUUUGCUGAAUGAGAUUUGAAACUGCACGAUAUUGAAGCGUAGUGCUGCAGUGGCUCACUUCUGCAGCUCUUAAGAUAAGCUUUGUGCUGGGAUCAAUAGUUCACCACUUUAGGUUUUAUCAAAACAACUUUUCUUAACAUCUUCAGCAAGUGUCUGAGCA